rnacentral:pre_miRNA from 1 species
UAAGGUUUUCUUCAUUUUCUAUUGGAAUUUUUCUGGGAUUCUUGUUGUUGAAGGUUGAUGAAAAUGAUAUAAAGAUGAAAAAUAGGAGAAG